rnacentral:lncRNA from 1 species
UGCCGAUGAGGAGGAGUGGUGGUGGGGAGGGGAGGGACUCCGCUGAGCCACAGAGCAACAUCGUUGUGUGAUGGUGUCGGUCGUCCACUUCUUCUGGACAGGAAAUUGCCGACAACGUCAGCCAUGAAGUUUACAUCAACUCGCAAUGAAGACAAACUGCCACCAGACAGGAGGAGGAGCAACAGUCCGCUUGCAGAUGGAAACAAGGGUGGGUGGUUGGAA